rnacentral:tRNA from 1 species
AAAUAAGAAGUAAAAUUUUACAUUUAAUUUCGACUUAAAAAUUUGGUGAUUAAUCACCCUUAUUUA